rnacentral:snRNA from 1 species
GUGCUCUCUUUGGCAGUACAUAUACCUAAAUUGGAAUGAUACAGUGAAGGUUAACGUGGUCCCUGCACAAGGAUGACGUGCAAAUUCAUGAAGU